rfam:Hordeum vulgare subsp. vulgare, WGS project CAJW01000000 data, contig: morex_contig_42228
UAACUACUCCCUCCAUCCAAAAUUACUUGUCAGAUAAAUAGAUAAAAUGGAUGUAUAUAAAACUAGAAUACAUCUAGAUACAUCUAUUUCUAUGAUAAGUAUUUUUGAACGGAGGGAGUACUUU